rnacentral:rRNA from 1 species
UACAGAGGGGGCAAGCGUUGUUCGGAAUUACUGGGCGUAAAGGGCGCGUAGGCGGCCUCCUAAGUCAGACGUGAAAUCCCUCGGCGCAACCGGGGAACUGCGUCUGAUACUGGAUGGCUUGAGUUCGGGAGAGGGAUGCGGAAUUCCAGGUGUAGCGGUGAAAUGCGUAGAUAUCUGGAGGAACACCGGUGGCGAAGGCGGCAUCCUGGACCAACACUGACACUGAGGAGCGAAAGCCAGGGGAGCAAACGGG